UAGGAACCGUGAGAUUAAGCCAUCGCGGCAGGUGCUCACGUUAAGCCCACUGACUUUCAUGUCCCUAUCUACUAUCUAGCGAAACCACAGCCAAGGGAACGGGCUUGGAAUAAUUAGCGGGGAAAGAAGACCCUUUUGAGUUUGACUCUAAUCUGGCAGUGUAAGGAGACAUAAGAGGUGUAGAAUAAGUGGGAGAUAUUAGACUUCGGUUUGGUAUCGACAAUGAAAUACCACUACUCUUAUUGUUUCCUUACUUACUUGAUUCAAUCGAACGUGUAUCAUUUCCUAGCCAUUAUACGGAUAUAAUUUUUAUGUCAUAUGGUAUUGGGUUUUGAUGCAAGCUUCUUGAUCAAAGUAUCACGAGUUUGUUAUAUAAUCGCAAACAAAUUCUUUAAUGAGAGAAUGCAUUUAUGUAUUAUUGAUUUAAAAAUUUGGUAUAACUCCAAUUACUUAGGUAUGAUCCAAUUCAAGGACAUUGCCAGGUAAGGAGUUUGACUGGGGCGGUACAUCUCUCAAAUAAUAACGGAGGUGUCCCAAGGCCAGCUCAUUGCGGACAGAAACCACACAUAGAGCAAAAGGGCAAAUGCUGACUUGAUCUCGGCGUUCAGUACACACAGGGACAGCAAAAGCUCGGUCUAUCGAUCCUUUUGGUUUAAAGAG
rnacentral:ncRNA from 1 species